AAUCAGGUAGGAGUACCCGCUGAACUUAAGCAUAUCAAUAAGCGGAGGAAAAGAAACCAACCGGAUUGCCUUAGUAACGGCGAGUGAAGCGGCAAAAGCUCAAAUUUGAAAUCUGGUACCUUCGGUGCCCGAGUUGUAAUUUGGAGAGGGCAACUUUGGGGCCGUUCCUUGUCUAUGUUCCUUGGAACAGGACGUCAUAGAGGGUGAGAAUCCCGUGUGGCGAGGAGUGCGGUUCUUUGUAAAGUGCCUUCGAAGAGUCGAGUUGUUUGGGAAUGCAGCUCUAAGUGGGUGGUAAAUUCCAUCUAAAGCUAAAUAUUGGCGAGAGACCGAUAGCGAACAAGUACAGUGAUGGAAAGAUGAAAAGAACUUUGAAAAGAGAGUGAAAAAGUACGUGAAAUUGUUGAAAGGGAAGGGCAUUUGAUCAGACAUGGUGUUUUGUGCCCUCUGCUCCUUGUGGGUAGGGGAAUCUCGCAUUUCACUGGGCCAGCAUCAGUUUUGGUGGCAGGAUAAAUCCAUAGGAAUGUAGCUUGCCUCGGUAAGUAUUAUAGCCUGUGGGAAUACUGCCAG
rnacentral:rRNA from 1 species